UACGUAGGGGGCAAGCGUUGUCCGGAUUUAUUGGGCGUAAAGAGCGUGUAGGCGGCUAGAUAGGUCCGUUGUGAAAACUCGAGGCUCAACCUCGAGACGUCGAUGGAAACCAUCUGGCUAGGGUUCGGCAGAGGUGGGUGGAAUUCCCGGUGGAGCGGUGAAAUGCGUGGAGAUCGGGAGGAACACCAGUGGCGAAGGCGGCCCACUGGGCCGGGACCGACACUGAGGCGCGAAAGCGUGGGGAGCGAACCGG
rnacentral:rRNA from 1 species